UACGGAGGGGGCUAGCGUUGUUCGGAAUUACUGGGCGUAAAGCGCGCGUAGGCGGACCUGCAAGUCGGGGGGUGAAAGCCCGAGGCUCAACCUCGGAACUGCCUUCGAUACUGCGGGUCUCGAGUCCGGGAGAGGUGAGUGGAAUUCCUAGUGUAGAGGUGAAAUUCGUAGAUAUUAGGAAGAACACCAGGUGGCGAAGGCGGCUGCACUGGCCCGGUACUGACGCGUGAGGCGCGAAAGCGUGGGGAGCAAACAGG
rnacentral:rRNA from 1 species